rnacentral:rRNA from 1 species
GAUGAACGCUAGCGACAGGCUUAACACAUGCAAGUCGAGGGGCAGCACAGGUAGCAAUACCGGGUGGCGACCGGCGCACGGGUGAGUAACGCGUAUGCAACUUACCUAUCAGAGGGGGAUAACCCGGCGAAAGUCGGACUAAUACCGCAUAAAGCAGGGAUCCCGCAUGGGAAUAUUUGCUAAAGAUUCAUCGCUGAUAGAUAGGCAUGCGUUCCAUUAGGCAGUUGGCGGGGUAACGGCCCACCAAACCGACGAUGGAUAGGGGUUCUGAGAGGAAGGUCCCCCACAUUGGUACUGAGACACGGACCAA